CCCAAAGUGCUGGGAUUACAUGCGUGAGCCACCGCGCCCAGCCUGCCAUCUGGUUUUCUAGUGUCACCAAGUGAAUACCAGACCUGUGCCAACAGGGCAUAGCAUGAUGUAAUCCUCAUGGUGCUUCUUUUUCUCUUAUUGCAGGAGAAGCCUGUGGCCCAGUAUCAGCACCGUACGUAUUCUUUUUCUUUUAAAGAGUUACUGAGACGUAGUUGACAUGCAAACCAAUUCACCCAUUUAAAGUAGGUGAUUCAGUGUUUUUACUAUAUUUACAGGGUUGUGCAGCCAUUGUUACAAUCUAAUUUUAGAAGCUCUUGAUUCCCUCUCAAAAAUCCCCAUUAGUAGUGACUCCUCUGUUUUCCCCAACCCCCACACCCUUGGUUCUAGGCAGCCCUAAUCUACUUCCUGUUUCUAUAGUACACUGCCUUUCUGUAUUAACCGAUUCUUAAGGUGACUGUUUCACUUUGAUGAGGUUGCCCUAGCUAGGAAGCCAAGGCUCUUUCAUUUCUUUCUGCCCCUCUCCUUUGCCUUCCUUCAGCACCAAGGAGAAUGAUCCAGCAGCAGCUCAGUCCAUUCUUGUCAACCGCCCAGCUCCACACACUCCAGCCCCCGUCCACAUUCCCCAAAGCUCCUUGUGAGAUUCCUCGCAGCACCAAUGCCCUGACUGUCGCUCUGUGUUCUCUUAGGUCCUGUUCUACUCAGCCAUAUAAUAGAAGAUGUUGAGGAGGAGGAGAAGCCCCCUGACCUGGUAAGAUGCAUUUGUUCAUCUCUAGGAGAAAUGUCUUUUUCUGGGGCUUCUAGAAUAUCCAAUGAAUAUCGUUUUUGACUGCCUUGUGAAUCAGACCUCAGUUGUCAUGGACUCUAGUGACCAGUCACUGGAGUUUAUGACCAACUGAGGCCUGAUUGACGAUGUCAGUCAAAAGGUGGCAUAACCUACAAACUGGUCUUGAGCAUAUUUCUCAGUAGCACCUUUGUCUUCUUGAAAAAUUAUUUUGUAUUUGCCAGCUGACAUGAACACUUGCUAAAUAUUCCAAAACACCCCACUGCCUUUUCCACAAGCAUCUUCUAUGCUUUAUCUGGGGACCAGUGACGUGGUUUUCUAAUGUCACCAAGUGAAAAGACCUGCACCAGCCACACCCAGCAUGAUCUGAUGCUCAUGGUGUUUUGUGUUUUUUUCUCUUGUUGCAGACCACCUCUACAGCCCCAGGUGACCACCCUCCUCCUGAGGAUUCCAGGAGCACCACCUCUGAGGAUGAUGAUGAGGUAAGUAUCCCUUUUUUUGUCCUGUAAAGAAUGCCCUGUCAGGUGGGGAUCACGGAGGGAGAGCAUCAGGAUUAAUAGCUAAUGGAUGUGGGGCUUAAACCUAGGUGAUGGGUUGAUACAUGCAGCAAAGCACCAUAGCACAUGUUUACCUGUGUAAUAAACCUGCACAGUCCUGCACAUGCAUCCUGGAACUUAAACUUCAAAAGAAAACAAAAUUGAAAAAGAAUUGUUUCUUCCCUGAUUCCUUUCCUUCUGUUAAUUGUGAUAAUCUGAGAAGGCACAUUAUGUACGACAUGUCCAAUUCUCUUUGGGGGGAGUGGAAUUCAGUGGGAGUGUCUUCCCAUCGGAUACGUGAUAUAUUAGAAUGUUUUUAAAUGACAGCAUCCAUUAUCAACUGUAAGGCAGAGGAAUUUUCCUCAACACCAGUUUUCCUCUUUGGUUUAGGCACUGUGUAUUUGCCAAUGUUAAUCAACUUCAUAGAUAAAAUCUGUGGGAAAAGGUCUUGACUUUUCCACAGGUGUCCUCUAUACUAGCAUGUUUGAUUCUUGGCCUUUGACUCAACCAUUGUCUUACAACUAUUUUUCUGAAGUCAUCAAGAGACUAACAGAUCUGGGGGGUGGCUAAGGGGUGCAGAAUAAUUAAUCUGAUCCUCAUAGCGUCUUCUUUUGUCUAAUUGCAGAGUUCAUCGCUCCCUGGUUAUGGUAUGUACCCUGAAGUAGCUCACCUGCUGAGGAACAAACUUGCUGGCUUUCAUAUAUAGAAACCUGAUUCUUGGUUCUGGUUAAAGAAUAUUGGGGGUCUAGUGAGAGCAAAUAAUUUUGUAAGUGUAUAACUGUGAUCAGAGGGGCUAUAUGAAUGCAUGUGAACCCAGAGGACCAGCCAGGGGAUGUGUGAGCCGAUGUGGCUUCAGCUGAGGUAGAAGUGAGUGCACCUCUCUCUGACAUACUCUGAUGUUGGUGGUUUUAAAGAAUGGACACUGGAAAAUCUCAACAGUGAAGAAGAUGCCUUUCCAGGUAGGCAACAAGAUUACAGGUGGAAGCUAAUAAAGCAGGUUCCCAGGAGCCUUCAGCUUCUGCCUCCUGCCUGGGAGGCUGAGGGAGCAUGUAGAAAGAGAAGAAAAAGAAAACAUGGAUGAGGUUUGUUCUUGUCAGAGUUUAAUGUCAUAGUGGUGAGAGGUGUGAGCACCCUGCUGUGAUCACCUCUUCUUGCUUUAUUAUUUAAAGAUGGUCUUUCUGAGGACGCCUCUUUUCUGCCUCUUCCACUGCAAAAUGUUAAAGCCUUUGGUUUGGGACACAGUUCUGUCAUGGCAGUUACUUAAUCCUGGAGACAACAGUUCUUCCAUAGUGUGCCCAGAUGCUUGGGAGAAACUGAUCCUCACCUUCUGAACUGUUAGGUUUCAUGGCAGCACAUUCAUUUGUCUGUUCUUGCUGUUUACUUCAGAUAUCAAGGGCUCUCUCUGGGAAUGGGGGACAGGAUGAGGAUUCACUCUGGGCUCAAUGCAGAGAUCCAGUGUCUUGUAAACGGAGGAAGAAACACAACCUUGAGCACACUGCUCAAUUUCUUUAUUCAAGUGAGAAUAUGGAGUUUUACCAUCAUUUGUUAAAGAGGCCUUCCUUUUCCCUUUGUGUAUUCUUGGUACCUUUGUUGAAGAUCAAUUGACUGUGUAUGCAUGCAUUGGAUUUUGGGCUCUCUAUUCUGUAUCUCCAAUACUUAUUGGUGCCCCCAUGCUAGAACCCUGCUGUCUGAAUUUCUGUAUCUUUUCCUCUAGUAGAUUUCAGUCUCAUGAAUGUGUAUCUUCCAAUGCUGUUCUUUUUCAGCAUUAUUAUGAUUAUUUGAGACAUAUAAGAAUUCAUCAAAAAUUUGGGGUUAUCUUUUCCAUUUAUGCACAAAUGGCUGUUCCCAGUUUGAUAGUAGUUGUUGUGUGUCUUUGGAUCAUUUUGUACUAUUGUGUAUUAGUCAGGUUUUGUCUUCCUGUCUGUGAAUAUGGGAUGUCUUUUCAUUUAUUUGUACCUUCUCUACUUCCUUUCAGUCACAUUCUGUUCUUACCAGCUUACUAGUAUUUCAUCUCAUUGGUUAGAUUCAUUUGGAAGUAUCUAAUGAUGUCAGAGGUUAUUAUCCAUGGAAUUACAUUUGUAGUCUUACUAUUGGAUUAUUUAUAUUGAUUGCAUAUUAACACAACUGCCGUUUGAGUGUUAACUUUGUACUCUGCAAUUUUGAUGAAUUUAUUAGAAUGAAUAGCAUUCUUGUAGACUGUCUCCGAUAUUCCGUAUGCAGAAUGUUAAAGAAGUUCUCAGCUUCAUACCUCUCUUUUCAAGUAUAUUGGUACUGUGAAGGUCUGUUCAUAUUUACCUACUGACUGGUGUCCUUCCAAUUGAUGUAGUAAGGUUGUUCAAGAAAUACUUUGCCUACUUAUGCCAUAAUGUAUAGUUUUAAUUCUUUGUUCAUGCUAUUGUAUUUAUUAUUUUUCCAUAGAGUAAAAUGCAAUAUUUCUGAUUAGAUUCUGCA